rnacentral:tRNA from 1 species
GGCCGGUUAGCUUAGUCGGUAGAGCGUGGUGCUAAUAACGCCAAGGUCGUGGGUUCGAUCCCCACACCAGCCA